rnacentral:rRNA from 1 species
CGUGAGCAACCUGCCCCUGGCUCUGGGACAACCACUGGAAACGGUGGCUAAUACCGGAUACGACCUGCACAGGCAUCUGUUGUGGGUGGAAAGUUUUUCGGCUGGGGAUGGGCUCGCGGCCUAUCAGCUUGUUGGUGAGGUGAAGGCUCACCAAGGCGACGACGGGUAGCCGGCCUGAGAGGGCGACCGGCCACACUGGGACUGAGACACGGCCCAGACUCCUACGGGAGGCAGCAGUGGGGAAUAUUGCACAAUGGGCGAAAGCCUGAUGCAGCGACGCCGCGUGAGGGAUGACGGCCUUCGGGUUGUAAACCUCUUUCAGCUCCGAAGAAGCGAAAGUGACGGUAGGAGCAGAAGAAGCACCGGCUAACUACGUGCCAGCAGCCGCGGUAAUACGUAGGGUGCAAGCGUUGUCCGGAAUUAUUGGGCGUAAAGAGCUCGUAGGCGGUGUGUCGCGUCUGCUGUGAAAACUCAGGGCUCAACU